ACUUAUCGUAAAGUGGCUCCAAUGAAGAAUCAUGGAUGAGACAUAUACACGAGCACUCUGAGGUACUAUAGGAACGCAUUCACUGACACAGACAAGCAGAUGGCUAUUAACGUGUUCUUUGGAGUGUUUGUACCAAAAGAAGGAGAAGCCAAUAUGAAGAACCCACUCCUCCAGCAGUACCUCAUAUUAAUAAUGACACUACUGACAGAGACAGUUUUGAUGAAAUAUACAAAACAAACGAACUAACCGACUUCGAUAGACUCCUGAGCACAUCUGUUGUAAGGACUGGAGAUAAUGUUGUGUGCCUUGAUAGUGAAGGUGGUGCUAUUCAAGGUUUCCUUUUGUAGUGAGAGACAAAAUGAAGAUGAAA